rnacentral:rRNA from 1 species
UUUUCCUACGGGGGGCAGCAGUGGGGAAUAUUGGGCAAUGGGCGCAAGCCUGACCCAGCAACGCCGCGUGAAGGAAGAAGGCUUUCGGGUUGUAAACUUCUUUUCUCAGGGACGGAGCAAGUGACGGUACCUGAGGAAUAAGCCACGGCUAACUACGUGCCAGCAGCCGCGGUAAUACGUAGGAUGCGAGCGUUAUCCGGAUUUAUUGGGUUUAAAGGGUGCGCAGGCGGAAGAUCAAGUCAGCGGUAAAAUUGAGAGGCUCAACCUCCUCGAGCCGUUGAAACUGGUUUUCUUGAGUGAGUGAG